ACAUAGGCUGCUUCAGAAAGGUAAGCCAACGUUGUACCAGUGUCGAUGAUUGUUCCCUGACCGUUCGAUGUGGAGAAGACAGAUGGAUUGAUAGGUAGAGCUUGGCCAUUCACUGAGAUGCUCAGCAGAUUCACAUUGUAAUGAGGCCUGAGAUCAUAUGAUUAACAUUUGAACAAUUCUUUUUGAAACGAAACUGUUUAGAGGAGGGAUAAAGAGAUAUUUUACUGUGAGGGAACGAGUGGAGUAAAGACCAUGUUCGGCUCCACAAUCUCUCCAAGAACCAAUAUCCCUCCGCCUCCGUUCUCUCCUUUCAAGCAGUGUGAGAACACUCUAGGAGCUACUCCCUGCGAAGCGAGCUGAGAGAUCACAGACAUUCCUUGUUGCCCGAACCCGAAGAUCCCAUCAACAGCUCGGUCCGACUUCACUAGAUCCCCCGUCUGCGAGGUGCUGCAUCUGUUCCAGAACGAAAUCAAGUCUAGUGGCACGUAUUGAUGAUUUUUGAACAUUUGAUGAAAUAAACUCACCCGAACACAACCUGAGUCGUUGAGUUUGGGACGAGAGAGCUUCCUACAAUCAUGUCAAACUGCAAGAGAUCGGAGACGUAGUACCCCGAGGUGCCGCUUCCGUCACCGUACUGAAACGUGUAAGCGCAGAGGUUGUUCUGAACAGAACAGCCUGAGUCGCUCUUUCUGAACUCUCCGCAGUUGAGUUUCCGUUCGAAGCUCUCUCAUUCUCCUAUAAACCUUCCUCUCCACCGCAUCCUUCAACCACUACCUUCUUAGCUUUCUUACGGAUCUUCUUCUUCUUCUGAUUCUUAGUCAUAUCCGCACCGUACGUGUAACUCUUAGUUUCUUCUUUAUCAACGGUAACCGUCUUGUCCUUAUCGGUUGGAAGAACGAGAGGAGUACCAGAGCUCCGAGCAUCUGCUUCAGGGUUGAUGGUGGAACAUAACAGAAUGUUCUCCGGGUUGAUAUCGGUGUGAAUAAUAGAGAGCUUGCGGUGGAGAUAAUCCAACCCAACUAAAAUAUGGAAACAGAGCUCUUUCACCAUGCUAAGAGGAACACCUCGGUAAUCGCUGUACUUGAUGACCGACAAGAGGUUAUCUCCCAAAUACUCGAAGACCAUGCAAACAUGUUGCCCGUUAGGACCCGCGUGCUUGAAAUGAUCAAGAAGCUUGACAACACACUUGCUAUCAUCAGCGUCGCCUUCAGCAAUCUGUUUCAAGAUUUUAAUCUCGUCCAUUGCUGCCUCAGUGUAGUGCUGUGCGCUCUUCUGGAUCUUCAAAGCUACAUAACGCUACAACAAAAAAAGGAAAAUCAAAAUCUAUAUUCCACAUAAAGCUUCCACAUUUCAACAAUCUUAUUCUACAGCAAUGCAAGAAGCUAGCUCAAUCGCAGCAAAGGAACUUUCUUUUACUAAGACCCUAAAGUUGAAUCUCUUACAAAAGCUCUCUUGAGAAGUGAAAGUGAGCUUACAGAGUUUAGGGUGUCCCAGGCAAGCCAAACAGUGGAGAAGUGACCCCAACCAAGCUUACUCUGAAUCACAUAAGAUCCAUUCUUGAAAGUAUCGCCCACUCGCACCGCGUGGUAGCCUCCUCUCCUGUAAUCCUCUGUUCCUUCAUCCUCCGACGAGUAAUCGCUAGCGUCGCUGAGACGUCCGCCGUUCUUCUCAUCCGCCAUCGCCGGAGUUGAACUAAACACCGAUAAGAGGCUUAAGAAGUUAAGGAGAGGAGAAAAACUGAGAAAGUAUGCUAAAUGCGAAUCUCAAUCGAUACUCCAGAGAUCUGGGGAUAUCCAAUUUUAGAAACCCUAGGUUUGAAGAAGAUUACCAAAAAUAUUAGUCGAAUUAAGUCGUUGUUGUAGUAUUUGUGGUAAUUAUUUAUGUCAUACGAGUAACCUGGGUUCGAAUCUCGAUGACCGCCGACUUAUCUCUCUCUAGAAGUAUGGGCCUCUCUUAAUUUAUUAAGCCGACGGACCCUUUAGUUUGGGCCUUCUACACGUAGUCUAAAACCCAUUGGCAUAUAUCAUUGUGAGCAGUGACUACGAUGGAAAUAUUUCUCAGGAACCAAACCCAAAACCUAACUAAAACCGAACCAAACGGUUUUUAUAUAAAUAACCUGAUAGUUGCUCAAAAAAAAAAUAUAAAUUACCUGAUAUUUUUGAAGUACCCUACUUGAAACUAUCUAAUUUUAUUUCUUGAAAACCCUGAAUUAUCCUAACAUUUUCUCCAAACUACCAGAAAGUAUCAAAAAAAAGGAAACCAAAUCGGACUAAACUAGACAUGAAAUUUUCUCGGGUAUUAAUUGGCCAAAAUUAUUAUAUCAAUUGAACUGAAAACCUAAAAAAAAAAACGAACUGAACUGGAUUUUCUAAACUAUCCGAACAUAUCUUAUAACCGAGAAACUGAAAACUUUAUAAAAAAUGAACCGAACCAAAGUGCUAAGGCCUAAUUGUGACUCGAAGGUUUGAAAUUUGUUUAAGGUUCAGGGGUUUAGGGCACUACUGUUGAAGGUCUUUGAUCGGUAGUUGACUAAGAGAUUAGUGUUUUGAGCAAUGCAUUUGGCCACUUGUCUAUUGAUAGCCUUUUUCAAAAUAGUCAUUUAUACGAUAGGUUUAGCUAAUCUAGACUUAUAGUUUAGAGUUAAGAGAUGGAGUUUUGAAGAUAUGAUUUCAAAUUUUAAAAAUAAAAAGAAGCUAUUUUGAUCAUUUUUCUUAUUGAAUGUUGUUUUUGUGACAAAACCUCAAAAAUCAACAUUUGAGGAAAUUGUCCUAUUAAAUAUCUAAUUACUUUAGUGUAUUAUACUUGAUAUCAAAAUAAUGCCUUGGAUCAGAACAAAGAGAUACUUGUUUUAAUAUUUGUGACUUGACGUUUUGAAACUUGUUUUAGUAUUAAGGGUCCUAUUGUUGAAGGUCCUUGAUCGGUAGUUGACUAAGAAUUAGUUUUUGAGUAAUGCAGUUGCCUCUGGUCAUUUGAUGCACUUCAUAUUCUUUUAUGCUCUUGGGUAUUGAAUAUCUAAUUACUUUAGUGUAUUAUACUUGAUACAAAAUAGUGCCUUGGAUCAGAACAAAUAGAUACACAAACACCACUAAGAAACCAAUUAUUUACAUCCGAAACUAUAACAAUAGAAUGUAACAAACAAGGAAGCUAACUUCUCUUCUGCUUGGCUUCGCCGGUCGGGAGAUAAUUACUCUCCAGCGACCACAAACAACACACAAGAAACUAGAUAAAUGCAAAUCUGUAAAAGUUGUCUGCUAUAAAAACAUGUUGAUUACCAAUAGUAAUAACAUAAUAAUGUUUCCGACAAUGUCCAAAGACAGCUUCUGAGGCGCCGCAUUGUCACUAAACUGUCCUGCGUUCACGUACUCGCUUCUUCCGCUGCUGCUAGUCGCAGAUACAUUUACAGACAUUGAACCUGAAAGAAGUUGAGAGAUUUGUUAAGUGUGGAAAGAUGAGAUGGCUUUUGUAUCACGUUUGAGUUUAAAAGGAAUGAGAUUCUUACAGUCAUAGUUUGCCCAUCCAAUUCUCUGACCGACCAGAUCAUAGACAAAGAUUUUGUCUUUAAGAACUAAAUCUGCAUAUCAAAAGAUGAAAACAUAUGUUUCUGUGCUACAGAACGUAAAUUUCAAGUAAUAAGGCUUACCUCCAAGGAUCGUUAUCCCUUGAUUCUGUAUCCUUUGAAAACCGAUGCACCACACUGCAGUACCUCCCUACAGAGCAUAGUCCAGAGACUAAUGUUAUACCGGAAGAAAACAGAUUUCUAUAAAUGGAAACAGAGAUAAAGUACUUACGACGUUGUUUUGCUGUAUGAGGUAAUCCUGAGGAUUCAAGAACAUGGAUGCUCCACCAGCAAAGUUCAAGCUGACCGGUGGAAACACGUCUGCCACACUGACAAUUUUACAGUAACAACCAAACAAAUGUUUCAGCAUUUUUUUCCAAUAUAUUGAUACUACUAAUAAGAAGACAUGCAUAGAGAUGGUACGAACCGAACCUAGUGGUUAAUACGUAACAUUGAUUCCCUUUGGAAACAACGGGUCUCACAGACUGCGAAACAGCAUUCGUGAUCUGAAAAUUUCCAUAAGAAAGAUUUGUUUUUUAGAUACGCUAUGAAGACAAAACUACACAUGGGAGUUUUAUUACUUACAGCUUCAACGAAAGGAACAUAGGCUGCUUCAGAAAGGUAAGCCAACGUUGUACCAGUGUCGAUGAUUGUUCCCUGACCGUUCGAUGUGGAGAAGACAGAUGGAUUGAUAGGUAGAGCUUGGCCAUUCACUGAGAUGCUCAGCAGAUUCACAUUGUAAUGAGGCCUGAGAUCAUAUGAUUAACAUUUGAACAAUUCUUUUUGAAACGAAACUGUUUAGAGGAGG
rnacentral:lncRNA from 1 species